rnacentral:rRNA from 1 species
UACGUAGGUGGCAAGCGUUGUCCGGAGUUAUUGGGCGUAAAGCGCGCGCAGGCGGUGCGGUAAGUCCAUGGUGAAAGCGCCCGGCUUAACUGGGCGAGUGCCGUGGGGACUGCCACGCUGGAGGGAAGCAGAGGCGAGUGGAAUUCCGGGUGUAGUGGUGAAAUGCGUAGAGAUCCGGAGGAACACCAGUGGCGAAGGCGGACUCGCUGGGCUUUACCUGACGCUGAGGCGCGAAAGCGGUGGGGAGCGAACCGGG